CCUACGGGAGGCAGCAGUGAGGAAUAUUGGUCAAUGGGCGAGAGUCUGAACCAGCCAAGUAGCGUGAAGGAUGACUGCCCUAUGGGUUGUAAACUUCUUUUAUAUGGGAAUAAAACGUUCCACGUGUGGGAUUUUGUAUGUACCAUAUGAAUAAGGAUCGGCUAACUCCGUGCCAGCAGCCGCGGUAAUACGGAGGAUCCGAGCGUUAUCCGGAUUUAUUGGGUUUAAAGGGAGCGUAGGUGGAUUGUUAAGUCAGUUGUGAAAGUUUGCGGCUCAACCGUAAAAUUGCAGUUGAAACUGGCAGUCUUGAGUACAGUAGAGGUGGGCGGAAUUCGUGGUGUAGCGGUGAAAUGCUUAGAUAUCACGAAGAACUCCGAUUGCGAAGGCGGCUUUCUGGACUGAAACUGACGCUGAGGCACGAAAGCGUGGGGAGCGAACAGGAUUAGAUACCCGGGUAGUC
rnacentral:rRNA from 1 species